CUCAUUUGUCUCUUGCCUCUGCCAUGUUAGAAGUGCCUUUCGCCUCCCACCAUGACUCUGAGGCCUACACAGCCACGUCGAACUGCAAGUCCACUUAAACCUCUUUUCGUUCCCAGUUUCAGUGUGGUGGAAAAGGAAGAGAGAGCUGAGGCAGACGAUGUAAGAUCUGCUGUUACUUCUUGCUGUGUGACCUUGGGUGAAGUGAAGUGGGUGUGCCUGGGAUCACACACAGCUGCUAAAAGAAGGUCUCAAGAGCCACAGAUGUCUUGGAUAUUUCUGUAUUUCAGACUCUACUACCCAGACACCAAAAGAAGAAAUGAUUAACCCUGGAGGCUGCCUUGGUCUAGGUGAAAAAAUAUAUGUACGAUGACAGUGCAAUCAUACUAGAACUCAGGAUUAAGAAACUCACUCAAAACUGCUCAACUACAUGGAAACUGAACAACCUGCUCCUGAAUGACUACUGGGUACAUAACGAAAUGAAGGCAGAAGUAAAGAUGUUCUUUGAAACCAACGAGAACAAAGACACAACAUACCAGAAUCUCUGGGACACAUUCAAAGCAGUGUGUAGAGGGAAAUUUAUAGCACUAAAUGCCCACAAGAGAAAGCAGGAAAGAUCUAAAAUUGACACCCUAACAUCACAAUUAAAAGAACUAGAGAAGCAAGAGGAAACACAUUCAAAAGCUAGCAGAAGGCAAGAAAUAACUAAAAUCAGAGCAGAACUGAAGGAAAUAGAGACACACAAGAACCCUUCAAAAAAUCAAUGAAUCCAGGGGCUGGUUUUUUGAAAAGAUCAAUAAAAUUGAUAGACCGCUAGCAAGAUUAA
rnacentral:lncRNA from 1 species